rnacentral:rRNA from 1 species
GGGCCCGCACAAGCGGUGGAGCAUGUGGUUUAAUUCGAUGCAACGCGAAGAACCUUACCAGGGCUUGACAUCCUGCGAAUCUCUGGGAAACCGGAGAGUGCCUUCGGGAACGCAGUGACAGGUGGUGCAUGGCUGUCGUCAGCUCGUGUCGUGAGAUGUUGGUUAAGUCCCGCAACGAGCGCAACCCACGUCUUUAGUUGCCAGCAUUUAGUUGGGCACUCUAGAGAGACUGCCGGUGAUAAACCGGAGGAAGGUGUGGAUGACGUCAAGUCAUCAUGCCCCUUACAUCCUGGGCUACACACGUACUACAAUGCUACGGACAAAGGGCAGCAAGUUCGCGAGGAC